GCUGUGGCUAUUGGCGAGACCUCUCCUCCAUGCUAUCUUUGGGCACCGCCAUCAACGAGGACCCGCCAUUGGUUGGCAAGAAGAACGAAGGGGUAGGCAUCCCCUAUUUUGGAAGAAGAGAUGAAAAGAAGAGAUGGUUAAUUUUUUUUCUCUCUCUUCCCUCUUUUUUCCUUUCUUUAUUAGUUUAAUUAAUUAUUUAUUUAUUUUUCUCUCUCUUGUCUCUCAAUUGUCGGGUUAAGAAGUUAGCUAAAAAGGAUCAUAGGAUUGAUCGGUA
rnacentral:lncRNA from 1 species